rnacentral:rRNA from 1 species
GUUGUCCGGCUUGAGCUUGAAUCCUGGCUCAGGACGAACGCUGGCGGCGUGCCUAAUACAUGCAAGUCGAGCGCAGGAAACUAAGCAGAUCCCUUCGGGGUGAAGUUUUGUGGAAUGAGCGGCGGACGGGUGAGUAACACGUGGGCAACCUACCUAUAAGACUGGGAUAACUCAUGGAAACAGGAGCUAAUACCGGAUAACCGGUGCGUUCGCAUGAACGCACUUUAAAAGGCGGCAUUUGCUGUCACUUAUAGAUGGGCCCGCGGCGCAUUAGCUAGUUGGUGAGGUAAUGGCUCACCAAGGCAACGAUGCGUAGCCGACCUGAGAGGGUGAUCGGCCACACUGGGACUGAGACACGGCCCAGACUCCUACGGGAGGCAGCAGUAGGGAAUCUUCCGCAAUGGACGAAAGUCUGACGGAGCAACGCCGCGUGAACGAUGAAGGUUUUCGGAUCGUAAAGUUCUGUUGUUAGGGAAGAACACGUACCGUUCGAAUAGGGCGGUAUCUGACGGUACCUAACGAGAAGCCCG